UAGACGGCGGCAGCAGACCACCACCAGUAGGCGGAGAUCCGUAAGUGGAUUAUCCAUCAGCGAUCAGUGAUGGCAGCGGAGGCCCAGGAUCAUGAACUAGAAGGUGAACAGUGCUGUGAAUCAAAUUGGUUAGGGUGCCCAUUUGGUUGUAGAUUCAAUGUAAGAUGAUAAGGUGCUAGAAGUUGUAGGUCCUAGCUGAUGAUGGGAAUCCCCUUGUAAGUUUUAAGUACUUCUUUACAAUUAUGUAAUUUAUAUGUGCAGUGCUUUUCUACUAACUAGAUGUGCACAUGUAUGGAUCUUGUUCAUGCUUGGUGUUCAAAAUUCAUGGACAACACAACUGAUGACAUGCCCAUUGGUAAGCAUUUGUUUUUUAUGAAAAUCAG